rnacentral:rRNA from 1 species
UCGGAGAGUUUGAUCCUGGCUCAGGACGAACGCUGGCGGCGUGCCUAAUACAUGCAAGUCGAGCGAAUCKMWGGGAGCUUGCUCCCUGAGAUUAGCGGCGGACGGGUGAGUAACACGUGGGCAACCUGCCUAUAAGACUGGGAUAACUUCGGGAAACCGGAGCUAAUACCGGAUACGUUCUUUUCUCGCAUGAGAGAAGAUGGAAAGACGGUUUACGCUGUCACUUAUAGAUGGGCCCGCGG